rnacentral:rRNA from 1 species
CGGGUGAGUAACGCGUGGAAAACCUGCCGUAUACUGGGGGAUAACACUUAGAAAUAGGUGCUAAUACCGCAUAAGCGCACAGCUUCGCAUGAAGUGGUGUGAAAAACUCUGGUGGUAUACGAUGGUUCCGCGUCUGAUUAGCUUGUUGGUGGGGUAAUGGCUCACCAAGGCGACGAUCAGUAGCCGGCCUGAGAGGGCGGACGGCCACACUGGGACUGAGACACGGCCCAGACUCCUACGGGAGGCAGCAG